rnacentral:rRNA from 1 species
AUUGAACGCUAGCGGCAUGCCUUACACAUGCAAGUCGAACGGCAGCGGGGAGCUUGCUCCCGCCGGCGAGUGGCGAACGGGUGAGUAAUACAUCGGAACGUACCCAGUAGCGGGGGAUAGCCCGGCGAAAGCCGGAUUAAUACCGCAUACGCCCUACGGGGGAAAGGGGGGGAUCGCCAGACCUCUCCCUAUUGGAGCGGCCGAUGGCUGAUUAGCUAGUUGGUGGGGUAAAGGCCUACCAAGGCGACGAUCAGUAGCUGGUCUGAGAGGACGACCAGCCACACUGGGACUGAGACACGGCCCAGACUCCUACGGGAGGCAGCAGUGGGGAAUUUUGGACAAUGGGCGAAAGCCUGAUCCAGCAAUGCCGCGUGUGCGAAGAAGGCCUUCGGGUUGUAAAGCACUUUUGUCAGGGAAGAAAUCGUUUGGGUUAAUACCCCGAGCAGUUGACGGUACCUGAAGAAUAAGCACCGGCUAACUACGUGCCAGCAGCCGCCGUAA